AAAUUGAAGAGUUUGAUCAUGGCUCAGAUUGAACGCUGGCGGCAGGCCUAACACAUGCAAGUCGAGCGGUAGCACAGAGAGCUUGCUCUCGGGUGACGAGCGGCGGACGGGUGAGUAAUGUCUGGGAAACUGCCUGAUGGAGGGGGAUAACUACUGGAAACGGUAGCUAAUACCGCAUAACGUCGCAAGACCAAAGUGGGGGACCUUCGGGCCUCAUGCCAUCAGAUGUGCCCAGAUGGGAUUAGCUAGUAGGUGGGGUAACGGCUCACCUAGGCGACGAUCCCUAGCUGGUCUGAGAGGAUGACCAGCCACACUGGAACUGAGACACGGUCCAGACUCCUACGGGAGGCAGCAGUGGGGAAUAUUGCACAAUGGGCGCAAGCCUGAUGCAGCCAUGCCGCGUGUGUGAAGAAGGCCUUCGGGUUGUAAAGCACUUUCAGCGGGGAGGAAGGCGGUGAGGUUAAUAACCUCAUCGAUUGACGUUACCCGCAGAAGAAGCACCGGCUAACUCCGUGCCAGCAGCCGCGGUAAUACGGAGGGUGCAAGCGUUAAUCGGAAUUACUGGGCGUAAAGCGCACGCAGGCGGUCUGUCAAGUCGGAUGUGAAAUCCCCGGGCUCAACCUGGGAACUGCAUUCGAAACUGGCAGGCUAGAGUCUUGUAGAGGGGGGUAGAAUUCCAGGUGUAGCGGUGAAAUGCGUAGAGAUCUGGAGGAAUACCGGUGGCGAAGGCGGCCCCCUGGACAAAGACUGACGCUCAGGUGCGAAAGCGUGGGGAGCAAACAGGAUUAGAUACCCUGGUAGUCCACGCUGUAAACGAUGUCGAUUUGGAGGUUGUGCCCUUGAGGCGUGGCUUCCGGAGCUAACGCGUUAAAUCGACCGCCUGGGGAGUACGGCCGCAAGGUUAAAACUCAAAUGAAUUGACGGGGGCCCGCACAAGCGGUGGAGCAUGUGGUUUAAUUCGAUGCAACGCGAAGAACCUUACCUGGUCUUGACAUCCACAGAACUUAGCAGAGAUGCUUUGGUGCCUUCGGGAACUGUGAGACAGGUGCUGCAUGGCUGUCGUCAGCUCGUGUUGUGAAAUGUUGGGUUAAGUCCCGCAACGAGCGCAACCCUUAUCCUUUGUUGCCAGCGGUUAGGCCGGGAACUCAAAGGAGACUGCCAGUGAUAAACUGGAGGAAGGUGGGGAUGACGUCAAGUCAUCAUGGCCCUUACGACCAGGGCUACACACGUGCUACAAUGGCAUAUACAAAGAGAAGCGACCUCGCGAGAGCAAGCGGACCUCAUAAAGUAUGUCGUAGUCCGGAUUGGAGUCUGCAACUCGACUCCAUGAAGUCGGAAUCGCUAGUAAUCGUAGAUCAGAAUGCUACGGUGAAUACGUUCCCGGGCCUUGUACACACCGCCCGUCACACCAUGGGAGUGGGUUGCAAAAGAAGUAGGUAGCUUAACCUUCGGGAGGGCGCUUACCACUUUGUGAUUCAUGACUGGGGUGAAGUCGUAACAAGGUAACCGUAGGGGAACCUGCGGUUGGAUCACCUCCUUA
rnacentral:rRNA from 5 species